rnacentral:rRNA from 1 species
CCUACGGGUGACAGCAGUGAGGAAUAUUGGUCAAUGGACGAGAGUCUGAACCAGCCAAGUAGCGUGAAGGAUGACUGCCCUAUGGGUUGUAAACUUCUUUUAUAUGGGAAUAAAAUGUUCCACGUGUGGGAUUUUGUAUGUACCAUAUGAAUAAGGAUCGGCUAACUCCGUGCCAGCAGCCGCGGUAAUACGGAGGAUCCGAGCGUUACCCGGGUUUAUUGGGUGUAAAGGGAGCGUAGGUGGAUUGUUAAGUCAGUUGUGAAAGUUUGCGGCUCAACCGUAAAAUUGCAGUUGAAACUGGCAGUCUUGAGUACAGUAGAGGUGGGCGGAAUUCGUGGUGUAGCGGUGAAAUGCUUAGAUAUCACGAAGAACUCCGAUUGCGAAGGCAGUUCACUGGACUGCAACUGACACUGAGGCUCGAAAGUGUGGGUAUCAAACAGGAUUAGAUACCCUGGUAGUC